AUCAGCAGCCCAAAAUCCUUAAACCACCAGCCCCCAGCCCAACAAAUAGCCUGACCCGACCCGUUUUUUUUCCUUCUUCAACCUCAACAAAACAACAGCAACACAACCGAUACAGCAAACAACAAAAACCGACAAUAUGCUACAGCUUCAACCAACGAUCUCAAUGACAAAAUCGCACAUCAAUUCAACCAACUCAACCCAAAUUCGAUGAAAAGCUGGCCCAACAUCGCGUACAGCUUCAGCAACCAUCGCGACCCAAACCCGUAACCCCCGAAAUCCGUCCAAAUCGACCCGAAUCCAACCAUUUCACCUGGACCCGACUCGGAGAAGCUUCAACCUGAACGUUUCCCUCUUCAACAUGUGUUUUCCCACGUAAAAUCGUACAAGAAUCGCGAGAAUCUUCUAGAAAGAGGCUAGGUGGCAGCCAUCAACGUUCCAAAAAUAAUUAGCUGUCAAGAAUCCGUUCUAAGUUGUUGGAGUUGUACCUUGAAGGUACACAAACGCCCAAUUUUGAUUGGUUAGAAACGAAUCUGUUUCUCCCCAAUGUGAAAAAUUCGAAGUUUCUUGGAAAAAUCCAAAAAAAUCAAGACAAAAUCAAAGGGAAAUUUGGUUAUCAUCAAAAAGUGUUGAAAAUAUCUUACUCUAAAAAUCCUAAAAUUGCCCCAGUUCAAAUUAAUCCCACAUCGGUGGAGUUCAAAGAUCGACUCCCAUUUUUGUUCUCUAUAUGAGGCUCACUAUUGAGCAAAAAAGGGGACAAGUCUUGAAUGUUGAAAAAAAAAGAUCAAGCAAAAGUUUAUAUCCUAGUAAGAAAAUUUUUCCAUAAAAUUGGGUACUGUUCGAAGUCUUCGGAAUCACAGUAAAGCUUUUCGGUGGUGGUCGAGAUACUAUCAAAGUCUCGAGUCCCAUUUUGAUGCUCUGAAACAGGAGUAGCUGUAGAUGGACUUGAAGGCCCUAGGUUUAGUCGUGGAAGAUGAUGAAUUUUAACGUGUUGAUGUGUUUCGAUUUCUGGUUUCGUCUUUCUUUUGUAAGAGUUUACUGUGCUUGAUUCUCUCUUGGUGGUUUUAGUUUCCUAUUACUUUAAAGUUGAAAUAUUGUUCCUAGUAAUUGUUUCUGAAUGAAUGCAUUGUACGUUAAUCCUCUGUUCAUGAUUAUUGGUGCUUUCACCCAUUUGGUUUCUAUUGAUUGAAUACUGUUUGGUGUGGCAUUUUGAUUCUUGUUCUCACCAUGUUCCUAGACUACUGCUUAGUUGAAGGAUGUGCUUGUCGAAGUUCACUUUUGGUGUGUUAUUUGUAGUCUGAGUGUUUUUAGUAUUCAGCGCUAAUGUUAGAAGAUAAAUCAUGACGAGGCCAUCAAUGCAAUGACUACUUAAAAAUCAUUUGGACUCUUGUAGAUCUAUUCUAAGAGUGUCGAAAGAGUACGAGGAUGAGAGUAGUAUGUCCUGUCAAUUCUCUUCUGCAGUCUGAUGAGUGUGCUUUUUGGUGUCAGAGCUUGAAAAUUUGAUUCAUUUUCCUUUGAAUUCAUUUUUGGUAUGUGAUCAUGUUAGAAGGGCAAAUGUAAUUGUGUUUUGUAAAAUGCUGGAUAUUCGAGCACGCCGGUUUAGUAGAGAAUAUCUCAACUCUAGUUGUCAUUAUGUUAUGUGUGCAAUUUAUGCUUAGACUGAGAAUUCCCGGGGAUUUUUUCUUGAUCGAUAACAUCUAGAAAGGAGGGAUGAGGUUAUGUUCAUCUUACUAGAUUACUAAUAUUGAUCACGUAAAGAGUUAACCAUCUUGUUCUUAUUUUGUUUAAGUUCUUGCCACAAUUUAGAAUUGAAUGGUCACUAUAGAACUUGCCAGGAAGUUUCAAAAAGUCCUAGUUUUCUAAGAAAACUGUUGUGGACUUGAGAUUUGUUAGUGAGUUUGUAAGAAUCUUUUAUGCUAUUUUGGUUUUAAGUAUUACAUUUCAAGCCUAAUGCAAGUGUACCUGCCCAACUUCUUGUAAAGAAUGGGUUAAUUUGCCAAUCAAGUGAGAGUGUGAUACCUUUCUUCUUCUUUAUUUUGUGGUUUAUGAUCUUGUGACUCUUUGAAUUAUAUCUAGGAUUCCCGAAGCAAAUAAGUAUGAUUUUUUGAUGACUUAUGUGCUGAGAAUUUUGUUGCCUUAGUCCUAGUGUAAAGGUCAUGAGUAGAACAUAGGCGUUCUAAAAAACAUAGCUUUUGGUGUUUUAAGUUUAGCUGAAGAAGUGUUAACAGAUAAAAGUUUUCUUUAUGAAUUAUAAAAUCUUUUAAGUUUUCAAUCAAAUGAAAAUUAUGCAUGAAAAUGAAUGAAUCAAACACUUAUUUGGUCAAUUGUCAGUGAUAUGAAUAUGGGCCAUGAAAUUUUGCAGAAUACCAGUUAAACUUUUGUCUCUUCUCUUCUUUGGUCUUUACUACAAUAAAUAAAAUAGAUCAAGUUAUAGGUUUGAAUCUUCUUCGUUAUUUAAUACUACUACAAUAACUGAAAGAUGAAUGACCCAUGGAGUGUUACUACUUCCACCGUCUCAAUUUGUGGCACUUUUUUUUUUAAAUUUUGUGAUUCAAUUUAUAAAUUUGUUUAAAUAGUUAAUUAUCGUAAUUUAUGUAUAUUUAAUUAUGUGAUUUCUUUAUUUAUUUUUAUUUGUCAUAUUUUAUGAUAUUGUUGGAAAUGUUAUAAUAAUAACGGCCCUGUUUGCAUCAUUUGUAAUCAGAUAGUUUAAAAUAAUGAGUUGUUUGAUUAACUUCAUGUUCCAGUUUACCUUAGCUCUUUCCUCAUAUUUUUGCCUCUCAUUUCUGUUGGAGUGCAUCGUUAGUAUUGCGGAUUAAAGAUCCCAAUCUUGUUUUGAUUACUUGAGACGUGAAAAGACCGCCCUUUAUACAAUACGAACUUGUUCAUGAUUAUCUUUGGUUUGAAUCGGUUGUAUUUUCUAUUUAUUCCAUCGAGUUAAUUACUUUCUUUCUUCUUUCUUUGGCAUGGAAAAUCCAUUCGGGGUCCAAUUAGACUUUCCUGUUUUUUGCAUUCAAUGGGCCAAUGAGGCCCGCCACCUCCAUCGAGUCAAGAUUCAGGAUAAGUCAAAAAUCGACUACAUAAUGCAUGGAUACAAGGAGUCAAAAGAAGAAAAAAUGAGUUAAAGUACCAUAUUUGAAGCCGCAAAGAGACCCGAGAGUCUCAUUUAUUCAUUAUUAUUGUCUUUUUACUAUUAUUUAUUUAUUUAUUUAUUUCAUUAUUCAUUUAUUUGGGCCUCGAAGCUAAAAAUUAUAAAUUUAAUAUAGGUGAAGCAGAUUUUGGA